rnacentral:tRNA from 2 species
GGGCCGGUAGUGAAGUCUGGUUAUCACAUCCCCCUGUCACGGGGAAGCCCACGGGUUCAAAUCCCGUCCGGCCCGCCA